rnacentral:lncRNA from 1 species
CGAGGGUGGCCAUGAUGGCAGCAAAGAUAAUUAUGCCCACUGGUUGCACCCUCAAUUUGCCAAUAGGAUAUUUAUAGAUGUUGAUGUUCUUCAUUGACAGGUGAGUGAACCAAAGUAUGCCACCGGCCAUGAGAUCAAGUAAGGAAUCUAAUGUCGACGCAGCAAUUCGCUAUGGACCCACUCUUUAUUGUGGCACAAAUCUGAAGGAGAGAAAUGCACAUGCAUUACUGGCAUGAAAUAUAAGUAACAUCACACAUCAAAGUCAUCAAACUUUCAUGUGAUGAGUCGAUCAUCUUCAAGGUUAGAUAUCGUCAUUGCUCUCAUGUUGAGCUUGUUCUUCAAGGUCUUCCUCAUCAAUAGAGUCGGAUGUCUACAGAGAAUCAACUUCCUCGAAUGAUUAUAAGGUUGCAAAUUGUCUUUCAUAGUACUCUUUUUCUCCUAUAAAUAUAAAAUGUGAAAUUAUGAGAAAGAAAAAAGAGGGAGAAGAUUUUUGAGGCGACGGUGGGGCGGGGGAAGGAGUUUAGCAAUCAAUUUUGAACAUGAAAUUUUAUUGAAAACGAAGUGGACCGCGAUACAAAGAGGCCAGUUGAAGCAGAAUUCACGUGCCAAUCACCAUGAAGAGUGCCUGUAAUUCAGCUUUUAUAAAAAUAUCCAGAAUGGAGAACUCACAUAAGUCGAGACAAUAAUCACCAAAACUGAAAACCCCCUCCGAACUUAUAUAUAAGCAUUGAAACUCUUAAUACUACUGCGAAUCAGCUAACAUAGUAGUUUCCAAUUUAAACACCAAAUAAAUUAACAUAGAAAAUCACUAGAAUAGCAACUCUGAGUUAAGUCUGAAUUUGGAUUCUUGGGACCUGAAGAACAUGUUAGGAAAGCCCUGGUAUAAAUGAAUUAGUCCGGACCAAGGUAAUUGCUAAAUAGAAGUUUCCAAAAAGGCAAAAAUGCAGAUCUAACGCCGUGGAGAAGUGUCCAAUUUAUCAGUUCGCCUCUCUACGACUGAAAAAGCUCCAAAUAACUUGAAGCUAAUAAGUCUGCAUCAAUUGUUAGUGAAAAAAGGGACACAGCGAUCACUAAACGAGCCAUGAGAAAAGAAAUUAUCAAAAUUAUUAUUCAUCCAAAUCAUCCAAUUCCAACCAACUUAACUAACCUUUUUUUUUUUUAUCGAAAUUAUCUUUGGCUUCAUUUGGAUAGUAUGAAUUACAAGUGAAGGAGUUUAACAUUAUUAUUCAACGAGAAUCGCUUGAAUCUAAAUUUUAUAGAUUACAUAUGGAUUUUCGGAUUGAGUUUAGGAGUUUUAUCAUGACAGAUGUGGAAUGAUUAUUUAGGAUUGAUAUGAAAUCCUUGGUGAUACGUAUUGCUGUUUUACAAAGAAAUACAGCUCUUCAACGUCUAAUUUAUGUUUAGCUCUAGUUUCACAAGCCGUUAAACCUUUUAUAAUUUUAUUGCAAUUAAAUAUCAAAUUCCUUUUGAAAUCAAGGCGGGCAAGGCCUAUCCAAGUGGAUCCUUAGGUUACACUUCUAUUUCUGGAUUCGAAAUGAAAGGAUUUGAGGCUAUUUGAUAGUUUACAAAUAAAUUUUGACAUUGACCUCGAGAUCUUUAUCAAUGGAUGUCAAAUGACUAUUGAAUUUGAGAUUUAAAAUUCUACAAAGAAUUGUUCGCCUCUUCCUCUUCCUCUUCCUCUUCCUCUUCCAAUUCAUCCACCUUCUGCCCUAAUUUUACAAGCAACCGAAUGUUGCAUUUGGAUUAAUAAUUUGAUAGAUGAAAAAUAUAAGGAAAUCGAGAAGUUAAUCUAUACAACAAUUCAAAUUUAAUAUUGGGUCAAUUUCACUUUUAUCCUUUCGAGUUUGUCCCAAGUUUCAUUUUAGUCCUUAUAAUUUCAACUUUCCUCCAAAAAUCUAACACCGUUAGGCAUGGAGUUAACAUUGCAAUUAGAAUUGUAAGGACUAAAGUGAAACUUAGAUCAAACCGAAGGGGUAAAAGCGAAAUUAACUAUUCUUUUUUUUAACUUGUAAUCAUAUUAAAAAAAAAUAAUACUAAAAUUGAUUGUACAUGGCACUUUACACACUCUCAUGUAGAAUGUACAAUCUUUUUAAACAUGUUAAUUAUGCUCUUAGGACACUCGUUAAUAAAAUUCUAAGUUUAAGCAAUUAAAAAGUAUAAUCUUUCAUAAAAUUAAAAAAAAAUGGUGUAGACAAAAUUUGGUGUUUUUUUAAAUUUAAUCUAUAUUUAUAACUUUUAGGCUAAUAAGAGGAAUUAAAAAAGAAUUAAUUUCACUUUUACCCCUUCAAGUUUGACCAAAUUUCACAUUUUCGUCCAAAAAUCUACCACCGUUAGGCACGUGAUUAGCAUUGCAAUUAAUCUAAAACUAUAAGAUUUGUUUUGUUCAAAUUAAAAUUAUAAGGACUAAAGUAAAACUUUGGUCAAACCCGAAGAAAUAAAAGUGAAAUUGACCAUUUAAUCAAUUUUCUUUUCUUAUUCUUUUCCUUCCACGAAUUCUUGAUCAAAAUAUAACCUUCAUCUCUUGUAUUUGAUUAUGUCAUGAAUUUUGAAAAUGAUUGCAAUGUAGACUCUCCAUCCAUAACAAUUGGAAUUUGUCGACGGAAAUAGAUAUGUGACGCACAUUACCACAUUUGAGUUUUCAAAUUAGUAUAAACAUAAGAUUAUUUUUGUCUUUGAUUUGAUUAAUAUUUUUCACUGUUUAAUCAAAAUAUUAUACUUUUUCUUGACGAGAGGAGUCUGAAAAUAUAUAUUUUUUUAAUCUAAUUUGGAUAAAAAUUCACUAAUUGCAAAAAAAAGUAUUUUUAUCACAAAAAGUCUAAAAAACUAUUUUUACCUUUUGUGUGUGUUACAUGGCUAUUUUCAUUCACAAAUUUUAGUGGAGGUAGGUGGAGGGUCCACACUGUGACUGUCUUCAAAGUUUAGGGGUAAAUAUAUUAAAAGUAAAAAAAUCUGAAUAACAAUUUUGGGUAUAAAAUAAAAAAUUACCAUUUUGUUGUUAAAAUUAAACCCUAAACCUUUUGUUUGAAAUCCAAUCUAUCCAACCAAACGGAGCCUUACAGAAUUCAUUUCUUCAACAGUAAAUUGCAACAAUCCAAACGGAGGCUUACAGAUUUCAUUCUUUCAACAGUGAAUUGGAACAAUCCAAACGGAGCCUUAUAGAAUUCAUUCCUUCAACAGUAAAUUGCAAGAAUCCAAGUUAAAACACGCAGUCACACAUACAUGCAUAUAUAUAGAGAGAGAGAGAGAGAGAGAGAGAACCUCUGGUUAAGCCAGCGGUUUUGGAGAAGUCAAUGUGCGAAGCAGACUCGAGGUCGAUCCCAGCUCGGACCUUAUCAGGCAAUCUGGUCACGAAGUCUCGCCUCAGCGAGUUAACCGAGUUCCGGCGGCUGUAUCGGCGUAACCGCCCGCUCGAACUCAGCCUCUGACCUUCCGCCGCCGCCACCAAUAGCGGCGCUUUCGCUUCCAAAUCACCACCCUCCAUUUUUAAUCACAAACCUUCACAACUCAACAAACCUCUCUCAGAAUUGUAGAGAUAUAUUAGCAUUUAUAUGCUGCAUGUGCUUCUUACAGUGAUCACAAUUUUAACUACCGACAAAAUGUCCUAAUCACAGUUGCUAUUUCAAAAUAUUAUAUUUUAUAUAAAUUUAAAAUAAAAAAAAAUUUUAAACUCAUUUUUUAUUAAAUGCAUUCUGUUUUAUUAUUAUAAAAAUAAUUAUUUCAAUAAUAAAGAGGUAAAAGUCCAGGAUAUGAAGAGAGAUAAUUUUAAAAAUUGAAAAAGUGUUAUGGAUAAUAUUAUAACAUUGCAUGAUAAAGAUAAAAGAUAAAAUUUACUUAAUAAAAAAUGGAGUAUAAAAAUUAUUACUAUUUGAAAUAGCAUCUAUUUUUACACUUGUGAAUUUCAUUGAAUAUUUUGCCAAUAUUAUUCUUAUAUUAGUAUUUAUUUAGAUUGUGCAUUUUAGAGGACAACCUUUUCACGUUUUCACUUAUAUAUUUUAGGGAAAAUUGCAUAAAAAAUUUUAUAUGAACAAAGUAAACCCUACAAUUUUAAUCGUAACAAAUAGAAUUUUAUAGUUUUAAUCUGGUAACAAUUUAAAUCAUUCGUUAGUCACAGUCUACUUAGACUAUGUUUGGGAUUCCUAUAAGAAAGAUGACGGAUAUGAUGUAGUUAUGCAAUUCAACCCGUCUAUAUCAUUGCAUAAGAGAGGAUUGAAAAAAUUUCAUAUCCUAUCUUAUCCUAUGUUUGGGGUGAAUAUUUUGGUUUAAAAGUUCCCACAUACAUCCAAUCCAAUAUGCUAUUUGGAGUAAUAUAUUUAACAAUGAAUAAAUAGUGAAUUUACUGUAUUACCUUUAAUCCUAUCUAAUUUUGUGUAUUAUUAAGGUUAUUUAAGUAUAUUUUUAUCAUUAUUCAAUCUAUACCACGUUCGACAUGGUAUAAGCAAUGCGGGCACGUCUACGGUAUAAAAAAAAUCACCCUAAAUAAAAAUACAAAGUCAUUUUUAUGAUUUUUGCGUGGGAAUCAGUUGGUUCUGCUAGCCAUAAGUAGACGAAAACUAAUAGAUGAUUUAAAUUAUUAUCGAAUUAAAAUUAUAUAAUUCGAUUUGUUAUAAUUAAAACUAUAGAGUUUAACUUGUUCCCAUGGUCAAACCUUAAUUUUUUUUGAUAAUUUUUCAUAUCAUUAUUAUGUUUAAAUACUAUUUAAUGUGGCAUUAUACAUGAUGUCAAUUACAUUUACCUAUAUAAAAUCAAUUGCAUUUAUAUAUUAAUAUAGGCAAAUGUAAUUGAUGUCACGUAUUAAUAUGUAAGAUGUUAUAGUAGCUAAGUUUAUUAGACAAUUGCAAUCACCCUAGUAUUAUUAUUUGGAUUAAGAUUCUCUAAGGUUUAUGAUUUAAACUUUAAAAUAAAAGUUGGCAGGAUUGUAGUCACAUGAUUAAAUUAUAUUUAUCUUAAAAAAGAAAUGGAUUAUCAUUCUAAAUAUUGUAGGUGUUUGUUAUAUUUGAACU